rnacentral:rRNA from 1 species
UACGAAGGGGGCUAGCGUUGCUCGGAAUCACUGGGCGUAAAGCGUGCGUAGACGGUUACAUAAGUCGGGUGUGAAAGCCCCGGGCUCAACCUGGGAAUUGCAUUCGAGACUGCGUAGCUAGGGUGCGGAAGAGGGAAGCGGAAUUUCCGGUGUAGCGGUGAAAUGCGUAGAUAUCGGAAGGAACACCAGUGGCGAAAGCGGCUUCCUGGUCCAGCACCGACGUCAGGCACGAAAGCGUGGGGAGCAAACAGG